rnacentral:rRNA from 1 species
GACGAACGCUGGCGGCGUGCCUAAUACAUGCAAGUCGUGCGGACCUUUUAAAAGCUUGCUUUUAAAAGGUUAGCGGCGGACGGGUGAGUAACACGUGGGCAACCUGCCUGUAAGACUGGGAUAACGCCGGGAAACCGGGGCUAAUACCGGAUCGUUUUUCCUCCGCAUGGAGGAAAAAGGAAAGGCGGCUUCGGCUGCCACUUACAGAUGGGCCCGCGGCGCAUUAGCUAGUUGGCGGGGUAACGGCCCACCAAGGCAACGAUGCGUAGCCGACCGGGGAGGGGGAUCGGCCAAAUUGGGAAUGAGACAAGGCCCAAACUCCUACGGGAGGCAGCAGUAGGGAAUCUUCCGCAAGGGACGAAAGUCUGACGGAGCAACGCCGCGUGAGUGAAGAAGGCCUUCGGGUCGUAAAACUCUGUUGCCGGGGAAGAACAAGUGCCGUUCGAACAGGGCGGCGCCUUGACGGUACCCGGACAGAAAGCCACGGCUAACUACGUG